UGGUCGUAGACCCGAAACCAGGUGAUCUACCCUUGGUCAGGUUGAAGUUCAGGUAACACUGAAUGGAGGACCGAACCGACUUACGUUGAAAAGUGAGCGGAUGAACUGAGGGUAGCGGAGAAAUUCCAAUCGAACCUGGAGAUAGCUGGUUCUCUCCGAAAUAGCUUUAGGGCUAGCCUCAAGUGAUGAUUAUUGGAGGUAGAGCACUGUUUGGACGAGGGGCCCCUCUCGGGUUACCGAAUUCAGACAAACUCCGAAUGCCAAUUAAUUUAACUUGGGAGUCAGAACAUGGGUGAUAAGGUCCGUGUUCGAAAGGGAAACAGCCCAGACCACCAGCUAAGGUCCCAAAAUAUAUGUUAAGUGGAAAAGGAUGUGGCGUUGCCCAGACAACUAGGAUGUUGGCUUAGAAGCAGCCAUCAUUUAAAGAGUGCGUAAUAGCUCACUAGUCGAGUGACACUGCGCCGAAAAUGUACCGGGGCUAAACAUAUUACCGAAGCUGUGGAUUGUCCUUUGGACAAUGGUAGGAGAGCGUUCUAAGGGCGUUGAAGCAUGAUCGUAAGGACAUGUGGAGCGCUUAGAAGUGAGAAUGCCGGUGUGAGUAGCGAAAGACGGGUGAGAAUCCCGUCCACCGAUUGACUAAGGUUUCCAGAGGAAGGCUCGUCCGCUCUGGGUUAGUCGGGUCCUAAGCUGAGGCCGACAGGCGUAGGCGAUGGAUAACAGGUUGAUAUUCCUGUACCACCUAUAAUCGUUUUA
rnacentral:rRNA from 1 species